rnacentral:rRNA from 1 species
CAGUCGCCGCGGGAAUACGAAGGGGGCUGGCGUUGCUCGGAAUGACUGGGCGUAAAGGGCGCGUAGGCGGAUUGUUUAGUUAGGCGUGAAAUUCCUGGGCUUAACCUGGGGACUGCGCUUAAUACAGGCAGUCUAGAGUGAGGAAGAGGGUUGUGGAAUUCCCAGUGUAGAGGUGAAAUUCGUAGAUAUUGGGAAGAACACCGGUGGCGAAGGCGGCAACCUGGUCCUUGACUGACGCUGAGGCGCGAAAGCGUGGGGAGCAAACAGGAUUAGAUACCCCAGUAGUCCCUGUCUCUUAUAA